CUUAGGACUAGUGAAACAAGUCAUGAUCGUAGGGUUAUGCAUGCUCAUGGAUUAGUACCCGUGGUUCUAAUUUUUCCAACAGAACACCAAACUGCAAAAGCCAAAGUCUUGAUGAAGCUAGAUGAGAAUCUAUGGUCUACCACAACUAAGCUAAAUCCCACUCUUAACUGUAUCAUAGAAGCAGUUGUACAAAGAAACAUAUACCUUUAUUUGCUUUAUGAGGGAUAUUUAAUGAAUUAGAUUUUCCAACAGUCACAGACAAAACAGAAGUUCAUUUCCUACAUCAAGAUUAAAGCCCCAUAGCGACGAAGAAACUAUUCCAAAACAGAAGCCGUAAUAACACAAUCCAUCAGGCAAUCCAACCACAAUCAUGAAUCCGUACCAGGACAAGUCAUCCAACAAAAUAUGACCAAAUAAAUCAUCCAGGAAAUCAUUAACACAACCAAAAACUGACCAAGUUAAUAAAAGGGUAUCAACUAUCAAGCAUAAAAUCCAAUAACCUUUUAGGCAAAGCAAAACUCACAAAAAGGAUAAGCCGCCUUAUCAACAAUGGAUUCAAGAGUAUCAUAAACCAACUUGCUAUCCACCAAAAACCUCAAGUAACCCUCGACGGAAGGUUCCCAUUUGGGAACAGCCCGCUCCUCCGGCUUCUCAACCUCCUUCUCCCCUUCUUUAGCCUGCUCCCUGGUAUGCAACUUCAUCGCCACAAAUCUCAUCUCCUCCACAAACCCCUUAGCCUCACCUGGGUAGCGCUUUUGGGGUUUCUCCGCAGUGGUGGAGGACACAAUAGCAGCAGCUUUCAAGGGCAUAUUCACAAUUCUCGGAGUUACCGGGACUUGAAACUGAAAAGAAGCUCUUUUGGGUACAAAACCGGAUUGGAUAGCAGUGGAAAGAGAGAGAGAUGGGGAUACUUGGAGGUGGGUUUUGUUAAAUAAAGAUUGAGAUUGAGAGGUUAGAUUAAGAGAAGCCAUUUCGUCAACACAGAGCCAGACAAUAAUUGAACUCAAAAAAAUAAAGUAUAGAAUUAAGUAGGAAAAGAGUAUACGGCACCUUUAAAUUGAAAAGAAAACACAAGAAAAUUCAGCGACAAAGAAAAAGCGUUCAAAGUGUUUUUGGCUUUGGCUUAGAAUCGCUGUUCAAGUAGCCUUGAAGACAAAGCGAGAGCUCAAAAUAAUGGAAACAAAAGAAUAAAUAAUUAUGGGUAAUGGGGUUGCUGUUUCUUGCACCUGUAUCGAAGAAAAUGGGGCUUUUAUAGGUAAUCAAGCUUUCCUUUCGGAUUAGGAUAAGUCUGGCGUUG
rnacentral:misc_RNA from 1 species